UGCAACGCUGGGCAGAGGCUGCCACAUCCCUCGGGAAUCCCACUGAGGGAACCCGAAAGGCACUGGGGUACUCGGGCUUCCCGCACCGCCAAGCCUGCUCUCCUCGUGACGCCUGGUCCGACCAGGUCGUUUGCGUCGCGCCAGGCCCUCCACCCGAAGGGACGGGGCGCUGGAGGGGUCCCACAAGGAGAAGAAGGGCAGGCAGCGGCAUCCCACUGCCAGAAGGCGCGAGCAGCGCUCUCGCUGGCCUGUCUCACCUUCCCCUCGGCUCCGAACAAGAAGACAUUUCGCUAAUACAAAUCCUGGGAAAUAAGAAGAUGAAAGCAUCAUAUCAAAAAGCUGUGAGAAAGUGACCAUAUGACUUUAACCCUAUGUGGAUUAAGCUACUUCCUCACCACUCUUGGACCACAGGAGACAUAUAAUUACACUGGACCUUCAAGGCUAUGCCAAACCCACCUGCCAGCAUCGCCAUCCUUUCCAUACAGUGGCUGCCAGGAACUCCACAGAGAAGUUGAGCAACUCGCCCCUCUAACUCUGAGGUAUCCUAAGUCGAUCUGGAUUUUCUAUUUCCCACCAAUUCCCAGCAGGAUAUUAGUGCAGAAGAGACCACAGUAUAUUCUCAGUACACUCUUUUAAUGAAGCAAACAUGUUACCAACAGGCCGAAGUAUCCUCAGUUUCUCUGCAACAAGAAGCCAAAACAGUGCAGUUUAUCUUAGGUGCCAUCAAAUGGGGAAAUAGCGGAAGCAGGUCCUUGGAUUCUGGCAGAAGAUUUAGGAGAACCAGCUAAGUAUGAUCACAGUGGGCCUGCAGGCUCCAGCCUGACCUUUUGGAUCUGAUUUUGAUAAAACUGAGUCAUUUUACAGGUUGAAUAUUUCCUUACUCCCUAAGCCUUUAGUAUGCCAA